rnacentral:rRNA from 1 species
GUUGUUGCGGUUAAAAAGCUCGUAGUUGGAUUUCUGUUGAGGUUGGGUGGUCCCUUCUCCGAAGGCGUAUUUGCUUCGAUCUCGGCAUCCUUCUGAAAGACUGUGCUGCCCUUCAUUGAGUGGUCAGGAUUUCAGGACUUUUACUUUGAGGAAAUUAGAGUGUUUACGGCAGGCAGGCGCCUUGAAUAUAUUAGCAUGGAAUAAUGAUAUAAGACCUUGGUUUUAUUUUGUUGGUUUCUAAAGCUAAGGUAAUGAUUAACAGGGAUAUUUGGGGGUAUUUGUAUUACACGGUCAGAGGUGGAAUUCUUGGAUUCGUGUACGACAAACUACUGCGAAAGCAUUUACCAAGGAUGUUUUCAUUGAUCAAGAACGAAAGUGUGGGGAUCGAAGAUGAUUAGAUACCGUCGUAGUCUACACCAUAAACUAUGCCGACUAGAGAUUGGAGGUUGUCUUCUUAUAACUCCUUCAGCACCUUUCGAGAAAUCAAAGUUUUUGGGUUCCGGGGGGAGUAUGGUCGCAAGGCUGGAACUUAAAGGAAUUGACGGAAGGGCACCACCAGGAGUGGAGCCUGCGGCUUAAUUUGACUCAACACGGGAAAACUUACCAGGUCCAGACAUAACGAGGAUUGACAGAUUGAUAGCUCUUUCUUGAUUUUAUGGGUGGUGGUGCAUGGCCGUUCUUAGUUGGUGGAGUGAUUAGUCUGGUUAAUUCCGUUAACGA